UCGAACGAGAAAGUGGAGCAAUCCAUGAGUACAGUGGCGCACGGGUGAGUAACACGUGACUACCUACCUUUGAGUGGGGGAUAACCCCGGGAAACCGGGGCUAAUACCGCAUAACACCGAGAGGUCAAAGGAGCAAUUCGCUUAAAGAGGGGGUCGCGGCUGAUUAGCUAGUUGGUAGGGUAAUGGCCUACCAAGGCGACGAUCAGUAUCCGGCCUGAGAGGGCGCACGGACACACCGGAACUGAAACACGGUCCAGACUCCUACGGGAGGCAGCAGUGGGGAAUUUUGCACAAUGGGGGAAACCCUGAUGCAGCAAUGCCGCGUGGAGGAUGAAGUCCCUUGGGAUGUAAACUCCUUUCGAUCGGGACGAUUAUGACGGUACCGGAAGAAGAAGCACCGGCUAACUCUGUGCCAGCAGCCGCGGUAAUACAGAGGGUGCAAGCGUUGUUCGGAAUUAUUGGGCGUAAAGGGCGCGUAGGCGGUGCGGUAAGUCUUUUGUGAAAUCUCCGGGCUCAACUCGGAGUCUGCAGGAGAAACUGCCGUGCUUGAGUAUGGGAGAGGUGAGUGGAAUUCCUGGUGUAGCGGUGAAAUGCGUAGAUAUCAGGAGGAACACCUGUGGCGAAAGCGGCUCACUGGACCAUUACUGACGCUGAUGCGCGAAAGCUAGGGGAGCAAACAGGAUUAGAUACCCUGGUAGUCCUAGCCCUAAACGAUGAUUGCUUGGUGUGGCAGGUACCCAAUCCUGCUGUGCCGAAGCUAACGCGAUAAGCAAUCCGCCUG
rnacentral:rRNA from 1 species